AUUAGAAAUUUGGGUGCUUCCUCGCACCAGCACAUUUCAAGUGCUCAAUAGUCGCAUGUGGCCCGUGGCUCCCAUUUUGGACAGGGCAGAUACAGAGUGUUUCUGUCAUUGCAGAGCCUUCUCUUGGCUGGUGCUGCUGUAUGCUGGAGAAGAUGCGGGUGCUAGGGCUGGGGCUUGGGAGGACAAAGGACUGGCUGAGGGGACAGCAGCUCUGUCAGGCCUGGGUUCCCCCAGCACCUCGGAUGCCCACUUCCCUCUUCUGGGCACGCGGUCUCCUUACGUCUCAUGUUCUGCUUAGCUUGCUAUGCUCGUGUCCAUGGAUCCCCUCCCCACUGCCAGAGGAAGCUGCCUCUUCUUUCUGGCAACUUCAGCCUUUUCUCCUUUUCCCAGACGGUGGCUCAGUAAGAAACCUGGCUGUUUCGGGGGAGGCAAGGGAUGGGUCCCUCACCUGGGUUUGGCGGAUGGGAUGGGGGUGUGCACACACCUCCUUUAGUCGCUCCUAAGGUCAUGUUCAACAUUCGUGGAGCGCAUUUUUCUGCUCAGGGAGCUUUCCCAGACCCGGAAUGUUUGGUGCUCACAGACCCUGGCAAGGAUCGGUAUUGCUGUUCCUCAGUUUUGCCUGGGGAAAUGGAGGCUCAGUGACGUUCAGUGACGUGCCCAGAGUCAUGCCAUUGGCGGGUGGCCCAGGGCUCCAGGUCUCCAGCACCCCUCGGCCCCCUCCUCACCAGGUCACAUCAUCUCCUGGAUUAGAAAUCUGCUCACAUAGUCUGUCCUGAAGGGAAAAAAAUCGGUUACAGCCUCCUGUUGCCCCUAAAGAGGGAGAUCCCCGGGCAUGAACGCACCUUCUCACCCCCACUGUCAUCCUUGGCCUUUGCUCAUGGACCUGGGAGGGAAGGGUCUGGGUGGUUCUGAUCUCUGCAGGCCGAGGCCUGGGGAGGCGGGUGGCCCUCGGUAGCAGGAAUCCCAGGCCGUCCCUUCCCUGAUGAGCCUCUCUACCUUUGCUCAGAUGACCCAGCUCAUGAAGGCCGCCAAGAGCGGGACCAAGGAUGGGCUGGAGAAGACGCGGAUGGCCGUGAUGCGCAAAGUCUCCUUCCUGCACAGGAAGGAUGUCCUCGGUGACUCGGAGGAGGAGGACAUGGGGCUCCUGGAGGUCAGCGUUUCGGACAUCAAGCCCCCGGCCCCAGAGCUGGGCCCCAUGCCAGAGGGCCUGAGCCCUCAGCAGGUGGUCCGGAGGCAUAUCCUGGGCUCCGUCGUGCAGAGCGAAGGCAGCUACGUGGAGUCUCUGAAGCGGAUACUCCAGGACUACCGCAACCCCCUGAUGGAGAUGGAGCCCAAGGCGCUGAGUGCCCGCAAGUGCCAGGUGGUGUUCUUCCGCGUGAAGGAGAUCCUGCACUGCCACUCCAUGUUCCAGAUCGCCCUGUCCUCCCGCGUGGCUGAGUGGGAUUCCACCGAGAAGAUCGGGGACCUCUUCGUGGCCUCGUUUUCCAAGUCCAUGGUGCUAGAUGUGUACAGUGACUACGUGAACAACUUCACCAGUGCCAUGUCCAUCAUCAAGAAGGCCUGCCUCACCAAGCCUGCCUUCCUCGAGUUCCUCAAGCGACGGCAGGUGUGCAGCCCAGACCGUGUCACCCUCUACGGGCUGAUGGUCAAGCCCAUCCAGAGGUUCCCACAGUUCAUCCUCCUGCUUCAGGACAUGCUGAAGAACACCCCCAGGGGCCAUCCGGACAGGCUGUCGCUGCAGCUGGCCCUCACAGAGCUGGAGACGCUGGCUGAGAAGCUGAACGAGCAGAAGCGGCUGGCUGAUCAGGUGGCUGAGAUCCAGCAGCUGACCAAGAGCGUCAGUGACCGCAGCAGCCUCAACAAGCUGUUGACCUCAGGCCAGCGGCAGCUGCUCCUGUGUGAGACGUUGACGGAGACCGUGUACGGUGACCGCGGGCAGCUAAUUAAGUCCAAGGAGCGUCGGGUCUUCCUGCUCAACGACAUGCUUGUCUGCGCCAACAUCAACUUCAAGGGCCAGCUGGAGAUCAGCAGCCUGGUGCCCCUGGGGCCCAAGUACGUGGUGAAGUGGAACACGGCGCUGCCCCAGGUGCAGGUGGUGGAGGUGGGCCAGGACGGUGGCACCUAUGACAAGGACAAUGUGCUCAUCCAGCACUCAGGCGCCAAGAAGGCCUCCGCCUCAGGGCAGGCUCAGAAUAAGGUGUACCUCGGCCCCCCACGCCUCUUCCAGGAGCUGCAGGACCUGCAGAAGGACCUGGCCGUGGUGGAGCAGAUCACGCUUCUCAUCAGCACACUGCACGGCACCUACCAGAACCUGAACAUGACUGUGGCUCAAGACUGGUGCCUGGCCCUGCAGAGGCUGAUGCGGGUGAAGGAGGAAGAGAUCCACUCGGCCAACAAGUGCCGUCUCAGGCUCCUGCUUCCUGGGAAACCUGACAAGUCCGGCCGCCCCAUCAGCUUCAUGGUGGUUUUCAUCACCCCCAACCCCCUGAGCAAGAUUUCCUGGGUCAACAGGUUACAUUUGGCCAAAAUCGGACUCCGGGAGGAGAACCAGCCAGGCUGGCUAUGCCCGGAUGAGGACAAGAAGAGCAAAGCCCCGUUCUGGUGCCCGAUCCUGGCCUGCUGCAUCCCUGCCUUCUCCUCCCGGGCACUCAGCCUGCAGCUUGGGGCCCUGGUCCACAGUCCUGUCAACUGUCCCCUGCUGGGUUUCUCAGCCGUCAGCACCUCCCUUCCACAGGGCUACCUCUGGGUCGGGGGCGGACAGGAAGGCGCAGGGGGCCAGGUGGAAAUCUUUUCCUUGAACCGGCCCUCGCCCCGCACCGUCAAGUCCUUCCCACUGGCAGCCCCUGUGCUCUGCAUGGAGUAUAUCCCGGAGCUGGAGGAGGAGGCGGAGAGCAGAGACGAGAGCCCGACAGCUGCUGACCCCUUGGCCACAGUGCAUCCAACCAUCUGCCUCGGGCUCCAGGAUGGCAGCAUCCUCCUCUACAGCAGUGUGGACACUGGCACCCAGUGCCUGGCGAGCUGCAGGAGCCCAGGUCUGCAGCCUGUGCUCUGCCUGCGACACAGCCCCUUCCACCUGCUCGCUGGCCUGCAGGAUGGGACCCUUGCUGCUUACCCUCGGACCAGCGGAGGUGUCCUGUGGGACCUGGAGAGCCCUCCUGUGUGCCUGACUGUGGGGCCCGGGCCUGUCCGCACCCUGUUGAGCCUGGAGGAUGCCGUGUGGGCCAGCUGUGGGCCCCGGGUCACUGUCCUGGAAGCCACCACCCUGCAGCCUCAGCAAAGCUUCGAGGCGCACCAGGACGAGGCGGUGAGCGUGACGCACAUGGUGAAGGCGGGCAGCGGCGUCUGGAUGGCCUUCUCCUCCGGCACCUCCAUCCGCCUCUUCCACACCGAGACCCUGGAGCAUCUGCAAGAGAUCAACAUCGCCACCAGGACCACCUUCCUCCUGCCAGGCCAGAAGCACUUGUGUGUCACCAGCCUCCUGAUCUGCCAGGGUCUGCUCUGGGUGGGCACUGACCAGGGUGUCAUCGUCCUGCUGCCCGUGCCUCGGCUGGAAGGCAUCCCCAAGAUCACAGGGAAAGGCAUGGUCUCACUCAAUGGGCACUGUGGGCCUGUGGCCUUCCUGGCUGUGGCUACCAGCAUCCUGGCCCCUGACAUCCUGCGGAGUGACCAGGAGGAGGCUGAGGGGCCCCGGGCUGAGGAGGACAAGCCAGACGGGCAGGCACACGAGCCCAUGCCCGACAGCCACGUGGGCCGAGAGCUGACCCGCAAGAAGGGCAUCCUCUUGCAGUACCGCCUGCGCUCCACCGCACACCUCCCGGGCCCGCUGCUCUCCAUGCGGGAGCCGGCGCCUGCUGAUGGCGCCGCUCUGGAGCACAGCGAGGAGGACGGCUCCAUUUAUGAGAUGGCCGACGACCCCGACGUCUGGGUGCGCAGCCGGCCCUGCGCCCGCGACGCCCACCGCAAGGAGAUUUGCUCUGUGGCCAUCAUCUCCGGCGGGCAGGGCUACCGCAACUUUGGCAGCGCUCUGGGCAGCAGUGGGAGGCAGGCCCCGUGUGGGGAGACGGACAGCACCCUCCUCAUCUGGCAGGUGCCCUUGAUGCUAUAGCGCCUCCCCUCUCCCCUCAGAGGGCACAGCUGCAGGCCUGACCAAGGCCACGCCCGGCUCUCGUGCUCUAGGACCUGCACGGGACGUGUGGAUGGGCCUGGACUCUCCAGAAACUACUUGGGCAGAGCAAAGGAAAACCUCUUGUUUUAAAAAAAUUUUUUUCAGAGUGUUUUGGGGAGGAGUUUUAGGGCUUGGGGAGAGGCAGGACACAUCUGGAGGAAAUGGCCUUCUUUUUAAAAGCAAAAAACACAAAACCUCACAACUGCCUGGCAAGCCCAGUAUCACUUGUUUGGGCCCUAGCGGGACUCCAAGGCAGCCACACGCCCCUCCUGGAAGGGUGUGUGGGUGUGAGUGUGUGCGAGUGUGUGGGCUGGUGUGUGAAUAUCUAUAAAUACGUAUAUAUGGUGUAUAUUAUAUGUGUAUAAAUAAAGUCUGUACAUAUUGGAGCUCUGGGAGAUGCUGGAAUAAAAGACAAGAGUU
rnacentral:sRNA from 1 species